rnacentral:snoRNA from 1 species
AAGACUAUACUUUCAGGGUUCAUUUCUAUAGUUUCUCUGAAUACAUAGAGUACUUGCUGAACGCAGACAUCAGUGUGUGCUGA